rnacentral:rRNA from 1 species
UACGUAGGAUGCAAGCGUUGUCCGGAAUUACUGGGCGUAAAGCGUGCGCAGGCGGUUCGUUGUGUCGGCGGGGAAAGCCCCGGGCUUAACCUGGGAAUGGCCGUCGAAACUGGCGAACUGGAGUGUGGCAGAGGGGGGUGGAAUUCCGCGUGUAGCAGUGAAAUGCGUAGAGAUGCGGAGGAACACCGAUGGCGAAGGCAGCCCCCUGGGCUGACACUGACGCUCAGGCACGAAAGCGUGGGGAGCAAACAGG